AGCUCCAAUAGCAUAUAUUAAAGUUGUUGUAGUUAAAAAGCUCGUAGUUGGAUUUCUGGUGGGAGCAAUCAGUGUGACCUUAUGGUUUCAACUUGUAUUGUCUCUGGCCAUCUUUGGGGAGAGUCUGUCUGGCAUUAGGUUGUCGGGCAGUGGAUCUCCAUCUUUUACUGUGAAAAAAAUAGAGUGUUCAAAGCAGGCUUAUGCCAAUGAAUAUAUUAGCAUGGAAUAAUCAGAUAGGACCCUGGUACUAUUUGGUUGGUUUGUGUGCCAUGGUAAUGAUUAAUAGGGAUAGUUGUGGGUAUUUGUAUUGCGAUGUCAGAGGUGAAAUUCUUGGAUUUCCGCAAGACAGACAACUGCGAAAGCAUUUACCAAGGAUGUUUUCAUCA
rnacentral:rRNA from 1 species